rnacentral:rRNA from 1 species
CAGUAGCCGCGGUAACACGUAGGUGGCAAGCGUUGUUCGGAAUUACUGGGCGUAAAGCGCACGUAGGCGGAUAUUUAAGUCAGGGGUGAAAUCCCAGAGCUCAACUCUGGAACUGCCUUUGAUACUGGGUAUCUUGAGUAUGGAAGAGGUGAGUGGAAUUCCGAGUGUAGAGGUGAAAUUCGUAGAUAUUCGGAGGAACACCAGUGGCGAAGGCGGCUCACUGGUCCAUUACUGACGCUGAGGUGCGAAAGCGUGGGGAGCAAACAGGAUUAGAUACCCGCGUAGUCCCUGUCUCUUAUAC